rnacentral:rRNA from 1 species
AUUGAACGCUGGCGGCAUGCCUUACACAUGCAAGUCGAACGGCAGCACGGGAGCAAUCCUGGUGGCGAGUGGCGAACGGGUGAGUAAUAUAUCGGAACGUGCCCGGUCGUGGGGAUAACGUAGCGAAAGCUACGCUAAUACCGCAUACGAUCUACGGAUGAAAGCGGGGGAUCGCAAGACCUCGCGCGAUUGGAGCGGCCGAUAUCAGAUUAGGUAGUUGGUGAGGUAAAGGCUCACCAAGCCGACGAUCUGUAGCUGGUCUGAGAGGACGACCAGCCACACUGGGACUGAGACACGGCCCAGACUCCUACGGGAGGCAGCAGUGGGGAAUUUUGGACAAUGGGCGCAAGCCUGAUCCAGCAAUGCCGCGUGCAGGAUGAAGGCCUUCGGGUUGUAAACUGCUUUGUUACGGAACGAACGGUAGAGCUCUAAUACAGUUUGCUAAUGACGGUACCGUAAGAAUAAGCA